CCUACGGGGGGCAGCAGUGGGGAAUAUUGGGCAAUGGAGGCAACUCUGACCCAGCAACGCCGCGUGAAUGAUGAAGGUCUUCGGAUUGUAAAGUUCUGUGAUGGGGGAUGAACACCAUGACGGUACCCCACUAGCAAGCCACGGCUAACUACGUGCCAGCAGCCGCGGUAAUACGUAGGUGGCAAGCGUUAUCCGGAAUGACUGGGCGUAAAGGGUGCGUAGGUGGUUUAGUAAGUUGGCGGUGUAAUUCCGGGGCUCAACCUCGGCGCUACCGCCAAAACUAUUAGACUAGAGUGCAGGAGGGGUAAGUGGAAUUCCUAGUGUAGCGGUGGAAUGCGUAGAUAUUAGGAAGAACACCGGUGGCGAAGGCGGCUUGCUGGACGGUAACUGACGUUGAGGCUCGAAAGCGUGGGGAGCAAACAGGAUUAGAUACCCUUGUAGUC
rnacentral:rRNA from 1 species